AAAUGAACUCUAUGGCUUCCAGUUAGAUAAUCGUCGCUGGUACCCAAUAGAGUUACGAAAAGAAAAAUCAUCAAAAGAUAAGGCAAAGAAGAGUAUAGAGGCAAAACCUGUGGCAUCUAAUAAUGAUGAUGAGA